AAAUUCUCAAAGUUCACAAAACUCAAAAGAAAAUCGUAAAAAAAACCUGGAAAUCAAUUGGAAAGUUCUCUCGAAAAAAAAAACACAAAACAAAAAUCUGCAAAGUGAAGAGUGAUAAUAAUAUCGUUUUUAUAUCUUACAGGAACCCCAAGCCGAAGCAGGAGAGCAUAAGUACAGCGGAGAGAGAGAGAAGCCACUAUUAUGGAUCGCAAGACAUCUCGAAACCCAUAUCCAUUCCAAACGAGAAAAUUGUUAUGAAACUCAACAAAAUUCUCAAGUGUUUACUGCUCAUAAUUCUCUACUGCAAUGACCAUUGGCCGCCAUCCAUUCAUCCACCGAUUCUCCACCGAUUAAGCCACAAAAAGGGGCCGCCAGUGCCGCCACAUCGCCAGAUCCGCCACGAAAUUCAAAUCUUCAACGAAAUUCAACUCAAAAUCAACUCAAAGCCAAACUGCAGGCAUCUUCAGUCACUGCCACGCCCAUACGCCACCAACAGCACCGACGACAACGCCGCCUCCGCCCCAAGAGGAGGAGCAUUGUGCCCCAAGCAGCAAUCGAGGCCAGCAAAUCACUCAGAGUCCAGGCAGAAACUGCAAGGAAGGAAACCGAAAUUCAAGAAACCAGAAACCAAAUCGCAAACACAACGACAGCUCGGGGCAAAUACAGAAGAAGGCGCCAACGAUGUGUCGCUGUAUCGCUGAUGAUGAUGACAUCGAGAGCCGGCCACUCCAAGACGAGGAUCGAGCAUCUGAAGGCGACCGAAGGAGGCAAAAGGCAGCGCAAGGCAGCGACUGAGGCAGCAGCAGCAACAGCAGGCAGAGGCAGCGACGUCGUUAUCUAAGGCAGCGCUCCCCUUUCGCAGGGGAAAAAGCUGCCUUCCCCCGUUGCCACACACAGAUACGACGAGUAUCUAGAUAUUUAGCUGAAUAUCUAAGCAGCAGGGGCAGUGACUGCUGCCCCAUGCAACCCCUCGACAGGAAGGACACUCACACACACACACACACACGCACAAGCAUUACCACCCCAAGCAGGCGCUCCUGCGGCGAAUUCACACACAGGCGCACACCCCCUAAGCAGAACUCACGCACACACUCGCAGCCCACACAGAAACAGAGAGAGAGAGAGAGAGAGCAGAAAGCAGAAAGAGAGCGAGAGCUCACCUCAUCCGAUGGCGGCACAAAACACUUCAUCGCAAAAACUGAAAACCUAGAAAUCCAAAAUUCAAAUUUACAACUUUCGGCUCUCUCUGGCAAUCAUCAAAAUCUGAAAAACCACACAUCCAAAUUCCAACGAAAUUCCAAUAAAAUUUCACCACUGACCGGCCACAAAAUUAAAAAAAAAAAACCAGCUUAAAUUUAAUGCUUUCUACAAAAAAAAAAAAAAAAACACCUAGAACAACAGGUAAACCGAUUUUUAGCUCAAAAUAACCUUAAAGAACUCAAAAGAAAUCAUCUAAAUCCACAAAAAUACCCAAAAAGAAAAGCCGAAAGAACAAAAGAAAAAUAUUAUACAUCGAUGCUGAUGGCUGAACCAAAAGAAAACCAAAACAAAACCAAAUGAAAUUCAAAACCAAAACCGAAACCGAAACCAGUCAAAAACAACAACGAAAUCAAAUUCAAAAUUGCCAAAAAAAAUAUACAAAAAUUACCACAAAAGAAAACAAAAGUCCCGAAAUUCACGAAGAAUCCUUCGGUGCAUAAUUAUGGCCACAUUAUGAUGAUUAAGUACUACCGCGGACAGUUCUGAAACAAAAACAAAACCAAAAACGAAAACGAAAACCGAAAAAAAAGAAGAAAGAAAGAAAUUCCAGCAAAAUUCCAACAAGACAGGAUUAUAAAUUACAAGAAAUUGCGGAAGUUUUAAUGCGACAAAUGUCAGGAGCAAAAAGGAGCCCGCGCGCUGUGGCAGGCAGAAGACGCGAGCGACGGGGAGGACACCCAGGGAGGCCGAGGCCGAGGCCGCCACAAAAUGCUGGCAACUUUUCUGGCCCAAAAUCUUAUAAAUGGCGGCCGAGGGCGAGUCGAGUCGAGAGGCAGGGCGGCAGAUAAAUCACAGCGAAACAAAACAAUUCCCAGCUCUCUCCGCACAAAAACAAACCAGAACCAGAAUCGGUAUCCGAAUCCGAAUCAGUAGCAAAAUCCAGACCCAGAGACAAAGAACACGCGAUUUCAAAGAACUUUUUGCAUAGAACAAGAAGCAGAAAAUGAAGGGGUUGAAGGCAUAAACAAAAUUCAUAAACUAUAAAACCCAAAGCACAAGCACACACCGCCACAGAAGGCCCAAGAUGGACCACUUUGAUGGCCUCCCUGGAGAGAGGCUUCAAGAGCAUUACUUUCGCUCGAAGGCCGCCACACAAAAUAAAUACAAAGAUGAAUACUAUGAAAACUAUGAGAACUACAACUUAACCCAAAUUCAAUUCGAAAUCAAAAUCAGAAUCAGAAACGCAAACAAAAUGAAGGCAUCAGCCAGCACCCAGCAGAACUUUAAGUAAUAUUUUCGAGACGAGUGUCACACGCAAAAACCCGCCUCCCUCCUCCCCCCUCAAACUCCAGACACAGCCCCAGCUACCGUUCAGACCUUUCAAAUUGUGGUCAGGCGAGAGGUUUCUUUGGCAAAAGUUCGAACCAUCAUCGUCUAUACAUUCAGAACUCCACCAGCAGCAUCAGCAUCAGCAUCAGAGCAUCAUGCAGUUGAAAGCACAUCAAACAAAACUCCAAAUUUAUAUAAACUACUGGCAAUAGUCGAGGUCGAGGCAUAAUUGCCAUCAAUAAAUAAAAUAUGGCUGGGGCAGGGGAGCACCAGCACCAGCACCAGCCCAAGAGCAGACCCUGAACCGAGACACCAAUCCUGACAAUCCCUUUCCCAGAUACAGUAUAGUAUACAGCCCCAACUACAGCAGCAUCAGCACUCAAUGGCCACUAGACAGCAGCAAGGCAGAGCAGAGCAUUUUGAUUUAUAAAUUCAUGGCGAAAGUUGCCAGGCCAAGCGGCAGCCAACGCCACCACCCCACCAGAACCCGCCCCACACCACACCGCACCACACCACCCCAGUCAAUCGCCACACGAUGACGACACACACCACCAGCAACAACACCACCUAGAGACUUGGCAGCAAAGCAACAAGAAAAUGCAAAAACCGUCUUAUGAAAUUACACAUUUCCGACUUGUACUAACAGCAGCAGCAAAAACACCAACUAAAACAACAUCCAAGCCGAGGCCAAAACCGAACAUUUAGAAGCAGCAGACCCCUCCCGCCUCCCGACCCCCUUCAGACACAACACGGCGACAAUCCAGCCCAGAAAUUUAGUUAUGAAACCAUCAUCAUCCGGAGACCAGAAAACCUAGAAAACCAGCAGCAGGGGAACAGGAAAAUCGGAAGCAAAUCUUCCAAAUUUUUUUGGCUAGGAAAAUGCACGUUUCGGGCAAUUUGGAAAUUUGCAACAUCAUUGAGACGCGCAGCAGACGCGAGUAGCAACCACGAAGAGUAGCAAAUGGAAUCUUGUACAAUAGUUCUAUUGAAAGGCAUAUAAAACCCCCCCAUUUCCGACCCACGAUCUAUACGAGAUCUUAGAAAGAUAGAGAGAGACAGUUGGAGGAGAUAUACAUAGUGAAUAUAUAGAGAGAGAGAGACAAAAAGAGAGAUAGAGAUAGAUACAGUGCACAAACAGAGAGAUAGAAAACAAAAAAAAAGGAAGAACACAUUUCGGACACAAGGUGGGGAUACCUAGUGUAAUUGCUUAGUCCUAAGAGUGCUGCACUUGCAAGGAACCCAAGUGCAGGACUGACUGACCCAUGACCCACCACAGACCCCCCCACUCAUCCCCCCCAAAAUGUAUACCCUUUGGUCAGCUGAAACAAAAAAAUGAUCAGAAAUUUGAUUCAGUAACGCACGAAGCCAGGCCUAUCUAGACCCAAAAAAAAAGCAGAAAUCACCAAUCAGAUAUCUAAAUAAUUAAGCGUGAA